CCUUUCUACACUUGUCCACUUUGGAUCCAGAAUUGCAACCUACUAAGAUAGAAUCCUCUUUGGUUGUGUUCACACUAAGCUAUAUUGAAGAAUUAAAAGUGAAUUAAACUGCAUUGGCUUCUACAGGUUAUGAAUAUUUAAUUAAGCAAUCCACCUCAAACCACCUCUGGAUGUGGAUUCACUGGAUCUAGAUUCAAUCCCAAUUCAAGACAAGUGUGAACAAGCUAAUCCUGCUUUAAUCCUGGAUUUUGUCUUAAUUCUGGAUCCAAAGUGGACAAGUGUAGAAAGGCCUUAAUUAUUCGGCUCCAGUGGUAGCUUCAGCCACAUUGUUGAAACCACUAUUGCCAACCCAGUCUUGCUGUGUCCAAAAUGAGUGCCGCUUUGGUGAACUUUCAACUUUUCGGGAGUUUUAUACUUUUUGGAAUUGCUGUGGUUGUACUAAUUGUGUUGAGCUUUUCACAAAGAAGAGCAAAGAAAGGUUUGAGUACCUGUAAUGGAGUCCCAGGGAUUGUACCGUGAGUUUUAAGUUCAUAAAUCUGUCCACUGCAUGUAAAAAAAUCCUUCCAAAAGUUAUUAUAUAGGCGGUAGCCUAUAUGUAGGAUUGAGGUUGAUUUUUCAAGAUGGCGUCCGUUUUUAUUAUUAUUAUUAUUAUUAAUAAACUCUACAGCACAAUAGUAGAAUGAAAACACAGGGAGUUAGAGUGCUGAUGGUAACCUGGUAAACUCACCAGGAACCAGAAAAAAAAAGAAAAAA